AUGGACGCAGUCUGACGGAGCAACGCCGCGUGAGUGAAGAAGGGUUUCGGCUCGUAAAGCUCUGUUGGUAGUGAAGAGAGAUAGAGGUAGUAACUGGCCUUUAUUUGACGGUAAUUACUUAGAAAGUCACGGCUAACUACGUGCCAGCAGCCGCGGUAAUACGUAGGUGGCAAGCGUUGUCCGGAUUUAUUGGGCGUAAAGCGAGUGCAGGCGGUUCAAUAAGUCUGAUGUGAAAGCCUUCGGCUCAACCGGAGAAUUGCAUUAGAAACUGUUGAACUUGAGUGCAGAAGAGGAGAGUGGAACUCCAUGUGUAGCGGUGGAAUGCGUAGAUAUAUGGAAGAACACCAGUGGCGAAGGCGGCUCUCUGGUCUGCAACUGACGCUGAGGCUCGAAAGCAUGGGUAGCGAACAGGAUUAGAUACCCUGGUAGUCCAUGCCGUAAACGAUGAGUGCUAAGUGUUGGGAGGUUUCCGCCUCUCAGUGCUGCAGCUAACGCAUUAAGCACUCCGCCUGGGGAGUACGAACGCAAGGUUGAAACUCAAAGGAAUUGACGGGGGCCCGCACAAGCGGUGGAGCAUGUGGUUUAAUUCGAAGCAACGCGAAGAACCUUA
rnacentral:rRNA from 1 species